AGAGGGUUAGUAUAAAAAUACCAUUGACUUAGGAUCAAUAAAUAAGUAUAACACUUACCCCCUACCA
rnacentral:tRNA from 1 species